rnacentral:lncRNA from 1 species
AGGCGCUGGGCUGGCAGCACGAGGGGCUGCAUAUCCACCCUGUGGACUCCUCCUCACCCUGCCACAGUGCCCUCUGGUCUUCUACAGAAGGACGCCACAGACGUGCAUCUCCCCACUGUCCCUUUGACUGUUUGGGACCAUGCUGUCCAAAAUUUAACACACAAUUGAGCUCUUUUCCUGUCUCCUCAAAUUCUGACUCUGCAUCCUAGAUCUGGCCAGCGUUUCUCUCCCCUGCAGGGUACAUCUCCUUUGGGCGUGGCCUCAGGAUCCCCACACAGGAGGACUGACCUUGCCAAAGGCCUGGCAAGUAAGGAUGCUCUGGCUGACUAACGUUCUCUUUUCGGAUUCAAUUGGACAUGGUUCUCCAGUGCUUCUUGGCUCUAAUUACGGCGGAAUGUGCCUGUGAGUUGUCCAACAGCUGCCACAUCCUUGUUAAGACAUUAAUGAGAGAAGAUCUUGUGAGAAUUGAAGGAAAAUAGAAAAAAAAUAUUGCAGUUGCAAGAGAAGAAUGAUGCCUGCUCCGUGGGAAUAGUCAAGCCAUGAAAAACCAGCCACCUCAUUUCUUCCCCAGAAGACCAUAAGCACAUGGCAUCUCACUUUGAGGGGCAAAUUCUGAGUUUGGCACUUUAUUUAUAUUUUAUUAAUGUAAACAAUAACAAAACACGUUCAAUCACAAGCACUCUACUCAGCCAGCUUUAUGUCUACCUCUGAAUCGAGGCACUUCUGAGAUGCUUCUCAGUGUUAGGGAAUGCUGGCCUGGAAGGCUUAGGAGCCAACUGGCAAGCUCAUUAGAGGACCAAGAAUUGCAUCAUAAAACAGUGGGACCAAAUGUGUGGGCAGUUAUUUUAAAACAUUAUAAAAACCCACCACUGUGUAUUUUUCUAUGAAUUGUUGACAAAUGUGCUUAGUAAUAGGAUAAGUGAAGAAAAAUGAAUGAAUUAGUUGAGAUUUACUUACAUUUUAACAUUAAUAAUAAAAUACAUGAUGUUAGAUGAAUAAAAUAAUCAAUAUAGACACCUUUA